UUCUUUAAAUGGGGACUUGUUAUCAACGGCAUCACGAGGGUUACACUGUCUCCUUUUUCUAAUCAGUGAAACUAAUCUCCCCGUGAAGAAGCGGGGAUACUAAUAUAAGACGAGAAGACCCCAUGGAGCUUCAAACCCAACUACACCCCCAACCCCUAUAACUACUAAAUCCUUGAGGCCCUGUAUCGUUGGUUUUAGGUUGGGGCGACCACGGAGUACAACAAAACCUCCACAAUGAACGGAAUUAAUUCCUAAUCUAAGAACUACAUCUCUAAGAAUUAAAAUACUAACAUAAAAUGAUCCAUUUUUUGAUUAAUGAACCAAGUUACCCUGGGGAUAACAGCGCAAUCCAUUUCAAGAGCCCCUAUCGACAAAUGGGUUUACGACCUCGAUGUUGGAUCAGGGUAUCCUAGUGGUGCAGCAGCUACUAACGGUUCGUUUGUUCAACGAUUAAAACCCU
rnacentral:rRNA from 1 species